UGUACUAGCAGACAACAUGAACGUGCUCGGGAAAUGAUGAACUUAAUACCAUUUUGUUUCCUGUGACACGUGACAAAUGCGCUAAUUAGAGUCACUAUUAGUAAUUUAUAACCAAAAUAAAAUUGUCAAAUUUGUAUAGCAGAUUCAGUGAAAAAAUGAAAAGAAAAGUAAGGAGAGGAGAAAAGGAUGUAGGAUAGGAUGGUGUGUUUCUUGCCCACCUCCUCCAUAGGAAAAAUAAGAGAGAAAACAAAGAGUGCAAGUUUAUGUUAACUAAUAUGUAUUUUGUUUCAAACACAUUAUAUGCAUGAUAUCCAGAAUAUGAAAGUUUCACUAGAUGGGGUUUCUUAAUUUCAUUCACAAUCUUCAUUUCUUCCCUAGUAAGAAAAGGAAUAAGAAAGUGGGAUGAUAUUGGCACAAUUUUUGGUACAUUUUUAUCUCCUCCUGACGAGAAAGUGAAUUCCUUUCUCGGCUGCACGGUUUUUCCAUCCAAACAAACUGAAGUUCCUUUCUUUCCCACCCAGGUCGGUGGAAAUAACACUAGAUGAUUAUUUUUAGUGGAAUUUCAUUUCUUUCCUCAAGUAUAUACAUAGAAAUUGACAGAGACGUUAUUACAUAGCUGAAGCUGGGGAAAGGAAAAUGUUCCCCGGAGCACUUUUAAUGUGAAGAAAGUUCCAAGGGUACAUUGCAAAUGAGGUUCCUAGAGAAAUAAAUAAUCUAUAUAUCUUUAGAUUCCAAUAACUUUUGUGCCUCUACCUCAGGUAAAGAAAACAAACAAACAUCACAAAAUAAUAAAAGAUUCUUGGGUACUUGUACUAUGACGCCUAAUUCUUUUGUAUAAACAACAUCAACAUUAGCAAGUAGACAAAUGCUGUCAUGUCUUAGUCGCAAUCAAAUGCUUAAGUUUAUAGUUUCGUAGGAACAUAUGUAAUUACUUUCAAUAACCUUUUUUCUAGAGUACCAUGUAAGCUGCUAAUCAAUGAUCACAAAUCACUAGCAAAAUUAUUAAAAUGCCCUCCAACUAUCUUAAUCAAAACAGAGAAUUUAUCAUCGGAAUUUCAAAUAGUACCCCGAGAAUUUAUAAUCUUAGACCGUCAUAAUGUGUAUGGUUUAAUUUGAGAGAUAUUUUUAUAUAAGAACUGCACUGAUUGAUCAAUGGAAUCAAUAAUGUAUAGUUUUUAUAUAUGGUCACUGAUAAAGACCAAGUAAAAUUCCUGAUUAGUGGCGCCACAUGCAAGGGUGAGAUGCCAUAUGCUUGCACCUUUCACUAGGCAAGGUUAAAGAGCUAAAGCCACUCUACAUUGCAUGAUGUUGAUUUAUAAAUUAUAAUAGCAAUUGGUAUACAUCUUAUUGAUUACUUGAAAGGUAAAGAGAAACACUCGGUUUGGACGCGUUACAAUUAGACUAUGCAAGAAAUGAAAAAGGUUAGAAUUAAAAAUGAGGAGGAGGAGAACAAGAAAUGUAAUUCAUCCUUUAAGAAUAUAACAUCUUAGACUUGGUACUCAAAAGAGAAGUAAAGUAAAUGGGUUUUGAUCUUUUAUUGAUUUAUUUUGUGGCAGGGCAUCAUAUCUUUUUCAAGCAUCUCUAAUAUUUUAAGCCUGAGCUUCUAAAUCAUUUCAUCUUGUGAUCCAAAAUUUGAUAAAAAGAAUAUAUUUUCUCCCACUAAUAUAAGGACGAAAUUGCUAAUUUAUCUUCUUUACUACACAUAACUUUACAUAGUGUGUAUAAUUAAUGCAGAAUCCCAGCCAUAGAGAAGCAUUCACUUUUUUCAUUAGCUGCGUAAUCAAUGAUCUUAAGUUCCUUAAUAUUAGAAUAGUAAAAGAAAGAAAGGGGCACCAAAAUAGAAUAAAUUGAUCACUAUCCUUUUUCGGGUAAUUGGAAUUUUUAUGAGGGGGGGUGAUAUACUUCCACUAUUGCCUUAAUUGUUAGAAGUAAAUUCUUAAUUCUAUCCCAAAAAAGAUUGAUUUUUUUGUUAUUACUCAUUUUUAUGAUAUUCCAAAAAGAGAACAUGUCUUGCCUCUUCAUUGUUUGUAGCAAUCAACUAGAGAGACAUGUAAGGUAGCAUGAAUAAAUAUCAUUUUGGAUGCUUGCUAACCACUGUCAGUCAUCUUCUAUCACUAUAUGCUUGAGAAGAAAGUAAUGAAGAAGUAGGUGAAUUUAGGUAUUGUGGCGGUCAUCUAACGGACCCAUCAUAUCAUAUAUUAAUUAGGAGGAGAAAUCCCUUCUUCACUUUUUCAAUAUAAUAGAAGAAAAAACGUAUUUAUUAAGGACAUUCUUUUUUGAGAUUGUUAGAACAUGUGGCCAGCCAUGCAUAUUAUUGAAUGGUUCACAUGACUUGAGGAAAAGCUGCCCUGUUCUAGGUUUAUUUAGAAAUAUUUAAUCAAUUCUGGAUUGAAAUUAUAAAGUACUACUGAUUAUGUUAGGCAGGGGUAAAUUAUAACUUUGUUGCCUCCUCCUGAGAUUAGAAUACUAAUAAUAUAAAGAAAAAGGCUUAUAUUAAGAAUAUUGUCUUACUUGGUGAACAUUGAUGGACGGUGAAGAAUGCUUGACUAAAAUGAAGUUGUACUCAAUAAGCUUUUUUUUAAGAGAUACCCAGACAGAGAGAGAGAGAGAUCUUAUCAAAACUGAAGGAGAUUGAUUUUAUGCCUGUUGUUCCAUAGUUAUUGGUCAGGAGUGGAAAAUUUUGAAAUGCUCCAUAAGUUUAGCAAAAAUUGAAAUAUUGGCCUUUUUUCUUACUAAUCUUUCCUUAAUCCCUUGGAAUAUAGUCUCGGAGAAAACAAAUAACUAAAACUCGUCCCCGCCUACAAAUUUCAUAGAAAGGCAGUCUUAUAACUUUAAGAAGAGCAAAACCAGGAGGGAAAAAAAUGUUAGUACACAAGGACAUGUGAGUUCAGAUCAAGACCUAAAAACAAAAGGACGACUUUGAAGCUCAGAAAUUAACAAUACAAGCCACCUAGUAAAUGGCAACUAAGUUUUUGUCUCUUCAUGUUAUGAAAGGCUUCUAGCUUCCCAGAGAUUUUAGAGGACUACAGAAUAUAUAUAAAUAUAUCAAUAAAUAUACACACACACACACACACACACACACACACAUAUAUAUAUAUAUAUAUAUAUAUAUAUGUUUCUUUCUCCAGAAUAUAUAAAAUGUUUGUAUGAAAUUAGACCAUAAUGGAAGUAGAUAUCUUUCGUUCUCACUGGAUACUGUAUCUAGUAAUUUGUCCCACCUCUGAGUUAAGUUUCAGGGAAUCCCUAAAGUGACAUUGCUUUCACAAAUCAUACCCUCAUGGACUCAGAUACUCCCUUUUUGCUCCGAGUGAGAACUUUUCCUCUUCAGUUAUAUGUUAUAAGUUGGAUGUAAGUCAUCAUCCUCCAAGUCUAGAGUACAUCAUGGUGAACAUCUAGAGAAAAAAUUUCAAUCAUUUUUAAAUGGUGCUCUGCAAAAUGUAGUUUCAAAACAUUCUUAUACGUGAUAAACAUUUGUGCAAGUAGACAUAAGAAAAGAACACAACUUCAAUGCAGAAAAGAAGUUAUGGGGAGUGUCAGAGCCCAGAGGCAACUUACAAAGGUGAAAGGUGAUCUUAUCUUGUUUGAUAGCUUACAUCUUUUUGGUUGGACUUCCAUUAUUGCUACAGAAUCUGGCACUUCCUAUCCAAGCAAAGAUCCCUUACUUCCAUGAAUGGAUCUUUGGAAUCACAAUGGACUUUGAAACAUAUUAAUCCCCUGUAAGUCUACUUAGUUCAGAACCAAAUAAGGUGACAGCAAGCACAAAUUACAUUUUCAUGCAUAUAAAGACAUAAUAAAUCUACUAGUUGGGNNNNNNNNNNNNNNNNNNNNNNNNNNNNNNNNNNNNNNNNNNNNNNNNNNNNNNNNNNNNNNNNNNNNNNNNNNNNNNNNNNNNNNNNNNNNNNNNNNNNCCACAAGAGCAAUCCCCACUCCUGAAAUGCUGGAAUAGUAUAUAACAUCCCUAAUUAUAGCUCUCUAUAGUCUAUAGUAACAGUUCUGUAUUAGUUCUAAGAAAAGUGGCGGCCUCACAGAAAGCAAGUUUAUCACUAUUGUAAAGAUGGUCCAUGGACUUGAAUUAACUAGUCUAAAUGAAAGUACAAGUUUCUCACUUUGGUGAAGUAGAUGAAUACUUUCUUCUUACAUUUAAUCCAAAAACAUCUCUGAAAGCUUAGGGCAAUACCCUUCAUCUGUUAACCUCUCAUAUAGCUCCUUUAAUUUUUAACAUAUUGUUUUCUGCUUGAUGAUGACCUGAAACUCCAGCUCUAAAGUGAUCAUGUACUUUAGACAUUAGUAAGACUAUAUAUUAUGUAUAUUUACCUUAAAUCUUGUGGUAAGUUGUGACGUAGUUAUCACAUUUACAAUUAUAUAAAGUUUUUGCAUGAAAUAAUACCAUAAAGGAAGUAGAUACCUUUCUUUGUCACUAUAUAUUUUAUUAUGUACCACCUCUUAGUAAAACACGUUAAGUUUAGCAAAUCCCUCAAACUGACAUAAUGCUUUAAAAAAUAAAACCUUUAUGGACUUAGGUAUUCCCUUUCUUGUCACCGAGUGUGUGCAACUUUUCCCCGUCCAGUUAUUGUUAUAAGGUGGAAAUAAUUGACCCGUCAUAGCCCACUAAACCUAGAAUCUAUAUAAAUUUUUCUACUGUAUUCAACAGGUGAUAGACACUGCAAAAUGACAUGGAGUUUAGCAUUUGCCUGGAUAUUGGUUAAACAACUUCCACUUAUAUAGUUAUGUGAUAACUAUGUGUGCAAGUAGACAUAUUAGGAAGAAAAGAACAAAGUUCAAUGCAUUAAAGUUGUAUGGAGUCAAAGGCAACUUACAAAGGUGAUCUCAUUCUGUUUGAUCCAGCACCUUUUUCCACGGGUUUCCAAUAUUUUUGCUACAGAAUCAGGCACUUCCUAGUU
rnacentral:lncRNA from 1 species